AAGUCGUAACAAGGUUUCCGUAGGUGAACCUGCGGAAGGAUCAUUAUCGAGUUUUGAACGGGUUGUAGCUGGCCUUUAACGAGGCAUGUGCACACCUGGCUCAUCCACUCUCAACCUCUGUGCACUUUAUGUAAGAAACGGUGUAAGCCAGCUAUUUAAUAGUUGGUAAUAAGCCUUUCUUAUGUUUACUACAAACGCUUCAGUUAUAGAAUGUUUACUGUGUAUAACACAAUUAUAUACAACUUUCAGCAACGGAUCUCUUGGCUCUC
rnacentral:misc_RNA from 1 species